GCCCGCAUGGCGCAGUGGUGGCGCGCAUCACUAGUAGAGGUACUAGAUCAUGAUGAGGUCGUCAGUUCGAUUCUGGCUGUGGGCA